rnacentral:rRNA from 1 species
GCAUAUCAAUAAGCGGAGGAAAAAGAAACCAACAGGGAUUGCCUUAGUAACGGCGAGUGAAGCGGCAACAGCUCAAAUUUGAAAAUCUGGCCCUUGGGUCCGAAUAGUAAUUUGUAGAGGAUGAUUUUGGUGCGGUAUCUUCCGAGUUCCUUGGAACAGGACGCCUUAGAGGGUGAGAGCCCCGUACGGUUGAAUGCCUAGCCUCUGUAAAUCUCCUUCGACGAGUCGAGUAGUUUGGGAAUGCUGCUCUAAAUGGGAGGUAAAUUUCUUCUAAAGCUAAAUAUUGGCCAGAGACCGAUAGCGCACAAGUAGAGUGAUCGAAAGAUGAAAAGCACUUUGAAAAGAGGGUUAAAUAGCACGUGAAAUUGUUGAAAGGGAAGGAUUUGUGACCAGACUUUUUCUGGGCGGAUCAUCCGGGGUUCUCUCCGGUGCACUUCGCCCAGUAAAGGCCAGCAUCGGUUUUCGGCGUGGGAUAAAAGCAGUAGGAAUGUGGCUCUCUACGGGGAGUGUUAUAGCCUAUUGUAUAAUACCGCGCUGGGGACCGAGGUUCGCGCUUCUGCAAGGAUGCUGGCGUAAUGGUUAUCAAUCACCCGUCUUGAAACACGGACCAAGGAGUCGAACAUUUGUGCGAGUGUUUGGGUGUUAAACCCUCACGCGUAAUGAAAGUGAACGGAGGUGAGAGCCCUUACGGGUGCAUCAUCGACCGAUCCUGAAGUUUUCGGAUGGAUUUGAGUAAGAGCAUAACUGUUCGGACCCGAAAGAUGGUGAACUAUGCGUGGAUAGGGUGAAGCCAGAGAAAACUCUGGUGGAGGCUCGCAGCGGUUCUGACGUGCAAAUCGAUCGUCAAAUCUGCGCAUGGUGGGCGAAAGACUAAUCGUACCAUCUAGUAGCUGGUUACUGCCGAC